UACAAAAAAUACAAGCGUUGCUCGGAAUCAUUGGGCGUAAAACAUACGCAGGCGGCCGUUCAAGUCGGGUGUGAAAGCCCAGGGCUCAACCCUGGAAAUGCGCCCGAGACUGGAUGGCUUGAGUGCGGGAGAGGGAAGCGGAAUUCCUAAUAUAAAAAUAAAAUUCGUAGAUAUCAGGAGGAACACCGGUGGCGAAAGCGGCUUCCUGGCCCGACACUGACGCUCAUGUACGAAAGCGUGGGGAGCAAACAGG
rnacentral:rRNA from 1 species